rnacentral:rRNA from 1 species
AUUGAACGCUGGCGGCAUGCCUUACACAUGCAAGUCGAACGGCAGCGGGGGAGAAGCUUGCUUUUCCUGCCGGCGAGUGGCGAACGGGUGAGUAAUACAUCGGAACGUGCCCUGUAGUGGGGGAUAACUAGUCGAAAGAUUAGCUAAUACCGCAUACGACCUGAGGGUGAAAGUGGGGGACCGCAAGGCCUCAUGCUAUAGGAGCGGCCGAUGUCUGAUUAGCUAGUUGGUGGGGUAAAGGCCUACCAAGGCGACGAUCAGUAGCUGGUCUGGGAGGACGAUCAGCCACACUGGGACUGAGACACGGCCCAGACUCCUACGGGAGGCAGCAGUGGGGAAUUUUGGACAAUGGGCGAAAGCCUGGUCCAGCAAUGCCGCGUGUGUGAAGAAGGCCUUCGGGUUGUAAAGCACUUUUGUCCGGAAAGAAAUGGCUCUGGUUAAUACCUGGGGUCGAUGACGGUACCGGAAAAAUAAGGACCGGCUAACUACGUGCCAGCCGCCGCGGUAA